rnacentral:rRNA from 1 species
AGUGAACGCUGGCGGUAGGCCUAACACAUGCAAGUCGAACGGCAGCACAGUAAGAGCUUGCUCUUACGGGUGGCGAGUGGCGGACGGGUGAGGAGUACAUCGGAAUCUACUUUUUCGUGGGGGAUAACGUAGGGAAACUUACGCUAAUACCGCAUACGACCUACGGGUGAAAGCAGGGGAUCUUCGGACCUUGCGCGAUUGAAUGAGCCGAUGUCGGAUUAGCUAGUUGGCGGGGUAAAGGCCCACCAAGGCGACGAUCCGUAGCUGGUCUGAGAGGAUGAUCAGCCACACUGGAACUGAGACACGGUCCAGACUCCUACGGGAGGCAGCAGUGGGGAAUAUUGGACAAUGGGCGCAAGCCUGAUCCAGCCAUACCGCGUGGGUGAAGAAGGCCUUCGGGUUGUAAAGCCCUUUUGUUGGGAAAGAAAAGCAGCAGAUUAAUACCCCGCUGUUCUGACGGUACCCAAAGAAUAAGCACCGGCUAACUUCGUG